UACGUAGGUGGCAAGCGUUGUCCGGAUUUACUGGGCGUAAAGGGCGCGCGGGCGGUCGUUCAAGUCGCGUGUGAAAGCCCCCGGCUCAACUGGGGAGGGUCACGCGAUACUGAUCGACUCGAAGGCAGGAGAGGGUAGUGGAAUUCCCGGUGUAGUGGUGAAAUGCGUAGAUAUCGGGAGGAACACCAGUGGCGAAGGCGACUACCUGGCCUGUUCUUGACGCUGAGGCGCGAAAGCUGGGGGAGCAAACGGG
rnacentral:rRNA from 1 species